rnacentral:lncRNA from 8 species
GUGAUGCCCUGUUUGUGACCAGACAUAAGGAUCACCUCAUUCAUAUGGUUUCCAAGGGGAAAUCCAUAGCAUCUGAGCUGCACCAGAAGGACUUGAUCCCUGAUGAGAUGAACUCUCAGAUCAGUGCUGCCAGGACCAGCCAGGACCAGAUGAGACUGUUGUUCUUGGCCCUAGAAGAAGCAGAAGACACAACAAGAGUGAAAUCAGCAUUUUACAGGAUUCUACUGGAUCUGGAACCUGACGUUGUCAAGGACCUGGAGGAGCAAAGACAACGAUUGGAAGAACUACGUGAUGCCCGGUUUGUGACCAGACACAAGGAUCACCUCAUUCAGAAGGUUUCCGGGGGGGAAUCCAUAGCAUCUGAGCUGCACCAGAAGGACUUGAUCCCUGAUGAGAUGAACUCUCAGAUCAGUGCUGCCGGGACCAGCCAGGACCAGAUGAGACUGUUGUUCAAGGCCCUAGAAGAAGCAGAAGACACAACAAGAGUGAAAUCUACAUUUUACAAGAUUCUACUGGAUCUGGAACCUGACGUUGUCAAUCACCUGGGUAAGAACCUCUCUACCUCUGGUUACAUAUCACUGGAAUAUAAACCUUAUCUAGUCUAUCACCUGGGUAAGAACCUCUCUACCUCUGGUUACAUAUCACUGGAAUAUAAACCUUAUCUAGUCUAUCACCCGGGUAAGAACCUCUCUACCUCUGGUUACAUAUCACUGGAAUAUAAACCUUAUCUAGUCUAUCACCUGGGUAAGAACCUCUCUACCUCUGGUUACAUAUCACUGGAAUAUAAACCUUAUCUAGUCUAUCACCUGGGUAAGAACCUCUCUACCUCUGGUUACAUAUCACUGGAAUAUAAACCUUAUCUAGUCUAUCACCUGGGUAAGAACCUCUCUACCUCUGGUUACAUAUCACUGGAAUAUAAACCUGAUCUAGUCUAUCACCUGGGUAAGAACCUCUCUACCUCUGGUUACAUAUCACUGGAAUAUAAACCUUAUCUAGUCUAUCACCUGGGUAAGAACCUCUCUACCUCUGGUUACAUAUCACUGGAAUAUAAACCUUAUCUAGUCUAUCACCUGGGUAAGAACCUCUCUACCUCUGGUUACAUAUCACUGGAAUAUAAACCUGAUCUAGUCUAUCACCUGGGUAAGAACCUCUCUACCUCUGGUUACAUAUCACUGGAAUAUAAACCUUAUCUAGUCUAUCACCUGGGUAAGAACCUCUCUACCUCUGGUUACAUAUCACUGGAAUAUAAACCUGAUCUAGUCUAUCACCUGGGUAAGAACCUCUCUACUGGCUGUACUGGGUAGACCAGAGGAACCAGGCUCUGAGGGGUGACCAGUCCUCUACUGGCUGUACUGGGUAGACCAGAGGAACCAGGCUCUGAGUUAGAUAAUAACAUGAUGUUUUUAGGUGUCAACGUCUUCUAACUGAUUAUCUGUUUUUUAUUAACAGAUGUAAAUAAGAUGAAGGCCCCCAGUAAGUAUUUAUAAGUCUGUCUGUCUGUCUGUCUGUCUGUCUGUUUGUCUGUCUGUCUGUCUGUCUGUGUUUGUCUGUCUGUGUGUGUGUUUCUGUGUUUCUGUCUGUGUGUCUGUGUUUCUUUCUGUGUUUCUCUCUGUCUGUGUUUUUGUGUUUCUGUCUGUGUGUCUGUCUGUCUGUCUGUGUUGGUCUGUCUGUCUGUCUGUGUGUUUCUGUCUGUGUGUGUUUCUGUCUGUAUGUCUGUGUUUCUGUCUGUCUGUGUUUCUGUCUGUCUGUGUUUCUGUCUAUGUUUCUGUCUGUAUGUGUGUGUUUCUGUAUGUCUGUCUGUCUGUGUUUUUGUCUGUCUGUGUGUGUUUCUGUCUGUCUGUCUGUGUUUCUGUGUGUCUGUCUGUCUGUGUUUCUGUCUGUCUCUGUCUGUCUAUGUUUUUGUCUGUCUGUGUGUGUGUCUGUCUGUAUGUCUGUGUUUCUGUCUGUCUGUCUGUUUGUCUGUCUGUGUUUCUGUCUGUCUGUGUUACGGUAUGUCUGUGUUUCUGUCUAUGUGUCCUUCUGUCUGUAUGUGUGUGUUUCUGUAUGUCUGUGUGUGUUUUUGUCUGUCUGUGUGUUUUUGUCUGUCUGUGUGUGUUUUUUGUCUGUCUGUGUGUUUCUGUCUGUGUGUGUUUCUGUCUGUAUGUCUGUGUUUCUGUCUGUCUGUGUUUCUGUCUAUGUGUCUGUCUGUAUGUGUGUGUUUCUGUCUGUCUGUGUUUUUGUCUGUCUGUGUGGGUUUCUGUCUGUCUGUGUGUUUUUGUCUCUAUGUGCUUUUGUCUGUCUGUCCGUGUGUCUGUGUUUCUGUCUGUCUGUGUUUCUGUCUGUCUGUGUGUUUUUGUCUGUGUGUGUUUCUGUCUGUAUGUGUGUGUUUCUGUAUGUGUGUGUGUGUUUCUGUCUGUNNNNNNNNNNNNNNNNNNNNCGAGGUAAGUGGUCUGGUGUCUUGUUAGAGUUUCACAUAAAGAGAUUAUGAUCAUUACUAUAAUACUGAUGGGUCAACUGUUAAUCACAGACCUCAUGGUUUAUUACUAUAAUACUGAUGGGUCAACUGUUAACCACAGACCUCAUGGUUUAUUACUAUAAUACUGAUGGGUCAACUGUUAAUCACAGACCUCAUGGUUUAUUACUAUAAUACUGAUGGGUCAACUGUUAAUCACAGACCUCAUGGUUUAUUACUAUAAUACUGAUGGGUCAACUGUUAAUCACAGACCUCAUGGUUUAUUACUAUAAUACUGAUGGGUCAACUGUUAAUCACAGACCUCAUGGUUUAUUACUAUAAUACUGAUGGGUCAACUGUUAAUCACAGACCUCAUGGUUUAUUACUAUAAUACUGAUGGGUCAACUGUUAAUCACAGACCUCAUGGUUUAUUACUAUAAUACUGAUGGGUCAACUGUUAAUCACAGACCUCAUGGUUUAUUACUAUAAUACUGAUGGGUCAACUGUUAAUCACAGACCUCAUGGUUUAUUACUAUAAUACUGAUGGGUCAACUGUUAAUCACAGACCUCACGGUUUAUUACUAUAAUACUGAUGGGUCAACUGUUAAUCACAGACCUCAUGGUUUAUUACUAUAAUACUGAUGGGUCAACUGUUAAUCACAGACCUCAUGGUUUAUUACUAUAAUACUGAUGGGUCAACUGUUAAUCACAGACCUCAUGGUUUAUUACUAUAAUAGUGAUGGGUCAACUGUUAAUCACAGACCUCAUGGUUUAUUACUAUAAUAACUGAUGGGUCAACUGUUAAUCACAGACCUCAUGGUUUAUUACUAUAAUACAGAUGGGUCAACUGUUAAUCACAGACCUCAUGGUUUAUUACUAUAAUACUGAUGGGUCAACUGUUAAUCACAGACCUCAUGGUUUAUUACUAUAAUACGGAUGGGUCAACUGUUAAUCACAGACCUCAUGGUUUAUUACUAUAAUACUGAUGGGUCAACUGUUAAUCACAGACCUCAUGGUUUAUUACUAUAAUACUGAUGGGUCAACUGUUAAUCACAGACCUCAUGGUUUAUUACUAUAAUACUGAUGGGUCAACUGUUAAUCACAGACCUCAUGGUUUAUUACUAUAAUACUGAUGGGUCAACUGUUAAUCACAGACCUCAUGGUUUAUUACUAUAAUACUGAUGGGUCAACUGUUAAUCACAGACCUCAUGGUUUAUUACUAUAAUACUGAUGGGUCAACUGUUAAUCACAGACCUCAUGGUUUAUUACUAUAAUACUGAUGGAUCAACUGUUAAUCACAGACCUCAUGGUUUAUUACUAUAAUACUGAUGGGUCAACUGUUAAUCACAGACCUCAUGGUUUAUUACUAUAAUACUGAUGGAUCAACUGUUAAUCACAGACCUCAUGGUUUAUUACUAUAAUACUGAUGGGUCAACUGUUAAUCACAGACCUCAUGGUUUAUUACUAUAAUACUGAUGGGUCAACUGUUAAUGGUUUUAAUGGUUAUACUGUAUAUUAAUUUGUGUUUUAAGACCUGUGUGGUUCCUUGUGUCUACAGUGAAGGACUAUAAAUUGGAACAGGAAAAAAGGCGUAAGUAUACAGUAUCUGACUAGUAAUGUCCUCUUGUUCUACAGUAUAUAACUCUACAUCUAACCUGACUAGUAAUGUCCUCUUGUUCUACAGUAUAUAACUCUACAUCUAACCUGUCUAGUAAUGUCCUCUUGUUCUACAGUAUAUAAACUCUACAUCU